rnacentral:rRNA from 1 species
AUUGAACGCUGGCGGCAUGCCUUACACAUGCAAGUCGAACGGUAACGGGCCUUCGGGUGCCGACGAGUGGCGAACGGGUGAGUAAUGCAUCGGAACGUACCUUUCAGUGGGGGAUAACGUAGCGAAAGUUACGCUAAUACCGCAUCUUCUGUGAGCAGGAAAGCAGGGGAUCGCAAGACCUUGCGCUGUUUGAGCGGCCGAUGUCGGAUUAGCUAGUUGGUGAGGUAAAGGCUCACCAAGGCGCCGAUCGGUAGCGGGUCUGAGAGGAUGAUCCGCCACGCUGGGACUGAGACACGGCCCAGACUCCUACGGGAGGCAGCAGUGGGGAAUUUUGGACAAUGGGGGCAACCCUGAUCCAGCCAUGCCGCGUGAGUGAAGAAGGCCUUCGGGUUGUAAAGCUCUUUCGGCCGGGAAGAAAUCGCACAGGCUAAUACCUUGUGUGGAUGACGGUACCGGAAUAUGAAGCACCGGCUAACUACGUGCCAGCCGCCGCAGUAAGAC